GGCAUAAGGUCCACCGAUGGGCAGUUAAGAGUGUUGCUGUUUCCCCUAACAAACAUUCAUACGGACAUCAAAUUACAUAGUAUCUUUACCAUACUGCAUUUCGUACGUGAAAAACUAAUUUAAUUUAGAAUAUAUACGCUCUAUGGCCAUCUCAUUUAAGGCCCACUUGCACCAUCCCACUAACCCGGGGUUAAGCGGUUAAACCGUUAAUCUAGUGUAAAAUUGUACUGAUAAUCAUGGUAACUCCAGGUUUAACCGGUUAACCCCGGGUUAGUUGAAUGGUGCAAAGUGGGCCUAAGUCUGGCAAAUGGUAACUCAGUACCUAGUAAAAUGCAUCAACCCAAAUCAGAUCAGAAGAUAGUCGAUCUCGAUCGAUGAUCGAUCGAUAUUAAUAAAAUAAA